rnacentral:misc_RNA from 1 species
CAGGACUGGAACUCCAACAUGUCAAA